rnacentral:lncRNA from 1 species
GCAUUUAUCGUUCACAUUACUAGACACUUAUUCUCGUCAUUAAAAAAAAAAAAAUUAUACGCAAAUUUUCUUAUUUAUUUUAUUUAGGAAAUCUCGGGUUAUUACAUUCACCCUCCCUUAUAAGGAUUCCGUCCCCGGAAUCACCGCUCUAAAACUCAUAAGCAUAAGGGUACAUAGUACAUAUAAUCAUUGUACGUAGAUCUCAAUCAUACUUGAUCGAACUAAUCUUUAAUUAUUCUUCAUAAUGCUUGUCUAUCUGAUAAACAGAAAUUUGAUCUCUAAAAGAACUCAAAUUCCUUCCUCAAAAUUUCUUUAAUAAAGUAAUUUACUAUAUGUAUAUAUACAGGAAAAUCAUAUAAGACACAUAAGUUAUUCAAAUAGCACCUGGAGUUCUGUUUCCAGCUGCCACCGUAUCCUCAACUGCUACGAUAUCUUGAACGACCAUAAUGAAGACACUUACGGUUUAUUUCGUUGUCAUCUAUAUCUUGCUGUCAUUUCUCGUAUUCACAUUCCUUAUCUCAUUUCUUCUUCUUUCACCUUAUACUCUUUCAUCUUAUACUCCAUUAAUUCAUAAAUAAAACAUUCGCUAUACAUCAUUGAAUUGAGACAAUUAGAAGAGAUCUGUCUCUUCUGUCCUCACACAAAGCACACAAACUUUUUCUUUAUCUCAUUUUCCUUUUAUCGUAUAGAUUAUAAAAUUUGUCUUUUGCCCUUUCCGUUAUCCUAACUAUCAUAAACGCUUCUACUGAGUCACUUAAUCCUCUAUACCCUAGCAAUAGGAUUGCCUUAAAGUCUUU